CCUACGGGAGGUAGCAGUGAGGAAUAUUGGUCAAUGGGCGAGAGCCUGAACCAGCCAAGUCGCGUGAAGGAUGACGGCCCUACGGGUUGUAAACUUCUUUUGUCAGGGAGCAAUUGAGUCCACGUGUGGGCUUAGCGAGAGUACCUGAAGAAAAAGCAUCGGCUAACUCCGUGCCAGCAGCCGCGGUAAUACGGAGGAUGCGAGCGUUAUCCGGAUUUAUUGGGUUUAAAGGGUGCGUAGGCGGAAUAUCAAGUCAGCGGUAAAAAUUCGGGGCUCAACCCCGUCGUGCCGUUGAAACUGAUGUUCUGGAGUGGGCGAGAAGUAUGCGGAAUGCGUGGUGUAGCGGUGAAAUGCAUAGAUAUCACGCAGAACUCCGAUUGCGAAGGCAGCAUACCGGAGCGCAACUGACGCUGAAGCACGAAAGCGUGGGUAUCGAACAGGAUUAGAUACCCCAGUAGUC
rnacentral:rRNA from 1 species